ncrna:unclassified sequences DTF2693 RNA
GAUCUUUGACAUACUUGAUAUAAACAAUGGCGAUACAAAUUAAUCUGCGGGUGCAAGGCCCGCGAGUGAUUAACCAUUGUCGUUAGUCUUUGGCCUAUUGCGCAAAGAGCGAAGCCGUGGCAGGCACGGAAGCCCCGAGGGUCGCAACCCUCCUGACGACAC